rnacentral:rRNA from 1 species
UACAGAGGUCCCAAGCGUUGUUCGGAUUCACUGGGCGUAAAGCGCACGUAGGCGGAUCUUUAAGUCAGGGGUGAAAUCCUGGAGCUCAACUCCAGAACUGCCUUUGAUACUGAGGACCUUGAGUUCGGGAGAGGUGAGUGGAACUGCGAGUGUAGAGGUGAAAUUCGUAGAUAUUCGCAAGAACACCAGUGGCGAAGGCGGCUCACUGGCCCGAUACUGACGCUGAGGUGCGAAAGCGUGGGGAGCAAACAGG